rnacentral:rRNA from 1 species
CAUGCAAGUCGAGGGGCAGCAUCAUCAAAGCUUGCUUUGAUGGAUGGCGACCGGCGCACGGGUGAGUAACACGUAUCCAACCUGCCGACAACACUGGGAUAGCCUUUCGAAAGAAAGAUUAAUACCGGAUGGCAUAAUUAUUCCGCAUGGGAUAAUUAUUAAAGAAUUUCGGUUGUCGAUGGGGAUGCGUUCCAUUAGGCAGUUGGCGGGGUAACGGCCCACCAAACCUACGAUGGAUAGGGGUUCUGAGAGGAAGGUCCCCCACAUUGGAACUGAGACACGGUCCAAACUCCUACGGGAGGCAGCAGUGAGGAAUAUUGGUCAAUGGACGAGAGUCUGAACCAGCCAAGUAGCGUGAAGGAUGACUGCCCUAUGGGUUGUAAACUUCUUUUAUACGGGAAUAAAGUGAGCCACGUGUGGCUUUUUGUAUGUACCGUAUGAAUAAGGAUCGGCUAACUCCGUGCCAGCAGCCGCGGUAAUACGGAGGAUCCGAGCGUUAUCCGGAUUUAUUGGGUUUAAAGGGAGCGUAGGCGGGUUGUUAAGUCAGUUGUGAAAGUUUGCGGCUCAACCGUAAAAUUGCAGUUGAUACUGGCGACCUUGAGUGCAACAGAGGUAGGCGGAAUUCGUGGUGUAGCGGUGAAAUGCUUAGAUAUCACGAAGAACUCCGAUUGCGAAGGCAGCUUACUGGAUUGUAACUGACGCUGAUGCUCGAAAGUGUGGGUAUCAAACAGGAUUAGAUACCCUGGUAGUCCACACAGUAAACGAUGAAUACUCGCUGUUGGCGAUAUACAGUCAGCGGCCAAGCGAAAGCAUUAAGUAUUCCACCUGGGGGAGUACGCCGGCAACGGUGAAACUCAA